GACGAACGCUGGCGGCGUGCUUAACACAUGCAAGUCGAACGGAAAGGCCCUGCUUUUGUGGGGUGCUCGAGUGGCGAACGGGUGAGUAACACGUGAGUAACCUGCCCUUGACUUUGGGAUAACUUCAGGAAACUGGGGCUAAUACCGGAUAGGAGCUCCUGCUGCAUGGUGGGGGUUGGAAAGUUUCGGCGGUUGGGGAUGGACUCGCGGCUUAUCAGCUUGUUGGUGGGGUAGUGGCUUACCAAGGCUUUGACGGGUAGCCGGCCUGAGAGGGUGACCGGCCACAUUGGGACUGAGAUACGGCCCAGACUCCUACGGGAGGCGGCAGUGGGGAAUAUUGCACAGUGGGCGGAAGCCUGAUGCAGCAACGCCGCGUGCGGGAUGACGGCCUUCGGGUUGUAAACCGCUUUCGCCUGUGACGAAGCGUGAGUGACGGUAAUGGGUAAAGAAGCACCGGCUAACUACGUG
rnacentral:rRNA from 1 species